AAAGAAAAAACCCCUCUUCUCAGAUCGGACAAAUGGGGGGUUUCAACAAAAUUUCCUUUUUUCUUCGCUGCUCUUGGUCUACGAAUCAGAAGAGCAGCUGCUGAAUCACAAUUCUGGGUUUUACAUACAAAAUUCAAUGCUUCCCUUACCCACCCACCGACUCUGCCCAUUUCAAAAGCUGCCGCUGUACUCUGCACAAAUUGGGGCAAGAUUGUCUCCAACACAAUGCGUGCCCCUUUUGGGCCCUCUGAUUGAUGAAGAAACAUGCAUUGAUUAAUCAAAAAGACUACUCAGUUGGAACUUGCUUUAACAAGGGCUCAAUCAGAUGGGGACAUGAAGUCAAGGGUGGGCGUUGGCGUUGGCACAAAUCUAAGGCUUUAGUGGGUUGCUGGUUACCACAUGCUCCCAGGAACCUCUCUCCACAAUCCUUGCAGCUUUGCUUGCAAUCCACAAGAGAACCACAAAAUUGCAUUCAUGUGGAUCCAGGAAAAGAGGCAAACUGGGGCCGAGGCCGAUUUGGCUUUUUCACUUGAGGGGCCGUGUGUCACGCAUAUUAUCCCAGGCCGGAAUACUCCUUCGGCUCUCCACCGAACCCAAGAGGUAAAU